rnacentral:ncRNA from 1 species
UAAAAAGCGAUGAAGGUGUCAGUAGAAGAUCAUUUUCUUACAGAGAGAGGAAGCCGUCGGCUGGAAGCAUCCUUAAGUUCAGAUGAUAAAUUCGAAUUUCCCACCGGAGCUGCAUUUUUGAAAUCACAGUAGGAAAUGCCGACCAUGCGCGUUAAGCAUACUUAAUUAAGAGCCUGCAGCAGCAGGAAUUAGGGUGGUACCACGGAACUCCAAGCUUCGUCCCUUAC